GAUGAACGCUGGCGGCGUGCCUAAUACAUGCAAGUCGAGCGAACGGACGAGAAGCUUGCUUCUCUGAUGUUAGCGGCGGACGGGUGAGUAACACGUGGAUAACCUACCUAUAAGACUGGGAUAACUUCGGGAAACCGGAGCUAAUACCGGAUAAUAUUUUGAACCACAUGGUUCAAAAGUGAAAGACGGUCUUGCUGUCACUUAUAGAUGGAUCCGCGCUGCAUUAGCUAGUUGGUAAGGUAACGGCUUACCAAGGCAACGAUGCAUAGCCGACCUGAGAGGGUGAUCGCCCACACUGGAACUGAGACACGGUCCAGACUCCUACGGGAGGCAGCAGUAGGGAAUCUUCCGCAAUGGGCGAAAGCCUGACGGAGCAACGCCGCGUGAGUGAUGAAGGUCUUCGGAUCGUAAAACUCUGUUAUUAGGGAAGAACAUAUGUGUAAGUAACUGUGCACAUCUUGACGGUACCUAAUCAGAAAGCCACGGCUAACUACGUG
rnacentral:rRNA from 1 species